CACGGCCCCACAAUAUUUCUUCAUACUACCAAUCCAAUUCAUAUCACAAAACCACGAUACCAUUUGCUCUAUUUCACAACCACAACACACAAUACCAAUUCCUUCUCUGCACAAAACCAAACCGCAAACCAUUUCUCCUUUCUAAAUACCGAGACACCACCUUCAUCAAAUUCCAUUUCUUUUCUGCACAACUCCACCGAAACCACUGCACUCCAUCUUCAUCGUGAAAAGGUAGCAUCCGAGAGCAAGAGAGGGAGAGCUGCUCCUCGUGAGUAUCGACUGAAGAAAAGCCGCGAGCUGCAUUUUCAUUUUGUCUCUACUCUGUCCGUAGGCUGAGGGAAGAGACCAGGGAAACAACACUACCUUUGUCAACCUCAGACCAACAUCCACCAGCUGCAACCACCUUCAUCACAACACCAUUUCCAACUGCAAAUUGAACGCAGGACCAAACAGGGUGCGUGAGAGCCGAGAGGAAAGAAGAAAAUUCCAGAUUUCUGUGCGUAGGUUUGGAGUGUAUCUGAGGAUAUUUCGAGGACGCAGAAUUCGAUUCCCAACUUGAUAUCUGAACUCCAUUCUUGGUCCUGGAAACUGAAAGCUGGAUGCUUACUUAUGUUUUCCUUAUGUAUUGUAUUUGACUACUAUAACUUAUUCUGUGGGCUGUAAUGUGUUUUUUUUUUUGGGAUAAUGUACUUUUCUUUUUGGAUUGCUACUUGAAGCUGGAAAAUGUGUAAACCCUAAUUCGAUUACUUGGUUUGUAAGUUUGUAUUUGGGAUUUAUGUAUGUAUCUAUCCGGAUUGGUGCGACUUUAUACUUUGGUACGUAGCACGUAGGACGUUUAAGAGCACCGACUGGUUAUUUUAUCACUGCUAUCUCUGAAGUUAAUGUGGCUUUAAGGAUGAUCCUAUUCGGGAAAAAAAUUGUUUUGUAAUAUAUUAGGUUAU